rnacentral:rRNA from 1 species
AGUGAACGCUGGCGGUAGGCCUAACACAUGCAAGUCGAACGGCAGCACAGUAAGAGCUUGCUCUUACGGGUGGGGAGUGGCGGACGGGAGAGGAAUAUAUCGGAAUCUACCUUUUCGUGGGGGAUAACGUAGGGAAACUUACGCUAAUACAGCAUACGACCUACGGGUGAAAGCAGGGGAUCUUCGGACCUUGCGGGAUUGAAUGAGCCGAUGUCGGAUUAGCUAGUUGGCGGGGUAAAGGCCCACCAAGGCGAGGAUCCGUAGCUGGUCUGAGUGGAUGAUCGGCCACACUGGAACUUGGACACGGUCCAUACUCCUACGGGAGGCAGCAGUGUGGAAUAUUGGACAAAGGUCGCAAGCCUGAUCCAGCCAUACCGCGUGUGUGAAAAAGGCCUUCGGGUUGUAAUGACCUUUUGUUGGUAAAGAAAAGCAUCAGGUUAAUACCCCGCUGUUCUGACGGUACCCAAAGAAUAAGCACCGGCUAACUUCGUG